rnacentral:rRNA from 1 species
CGUAGGUGGCGAGCGUUGUCCGGAAUUAUUGGGCGUAAAGGGAGCGCAGGCGGGAAGGUAAGUCUAUCUUAAAGUGCGGGGCUCAACCCCGUGAGGGGAUGGAAACUAUCUUUCUUGAGUGCAGGAGAGGAAAGCGGAAUUCCUAGUGUAGCGGUGAAAUGCGUAGAUAUUAGGAGGAACACCAGUGGCGAAGGCGGCUUUCUGGACUGUAACUGACGCUGAGGCUCGAAAGCGUGGGGAGCGAACAGGAUU